rnacentral:rRNA from 1 species
UACGUAGGUGGCAAGCGUUGUCCGGAUUUAUUGGGCGUAAAGCGAGUGCAGGCGGCUCGAUAAGUCUGAUGUGAAAGCCUUCGGCUCAACCGGAGAAUUGCAUCAGAAACUGUCGAGCUUGAGUACAGAAGAGGAGAGUGGAACUCCAUGUGUAGCGGUGAAAUGCGUAGAUAUAUGGAAGAACACCGGUGGCGAAGGCGGCUCUCUGGUCUGUUACUGACGCUGAGGCUCGAAAGCAUGGGUAG